rnacentral:rRNA from 1 species
CCUACGGGAGGCAGCAGUGGGGAAUCUUGCACAAUGGGGGAAACCCUGAUGCAGCGACGCCGCGUGAGCGAUGAAGCCCUUCGGGGUGUAAAGCUCUUUCGACGGGAACGAUAAUGACGGUACCCGGAGAAGAAGCUGCGGCUAACUACGUGCCAGCAGCCGCGGUAAU